AUGUUGGAGGACCUCGCCUCUCAUGAUCUGGUCCUGAAUGGUCUUUAUCUGACUGAGUGCUUCUGUUGUUCAGUGCUUUCAGUUCUGCUUUCUGCUGCUGCUUUGGCUGUUUUCAUCGCUGCUGUUCUGUGUUUGAUCCAGCGCAGAAGAAGAGCUGCAGCUCAUCAAAGAGCGAGCGGUGAAUCAGCGGUCAAAGAUGAGAAUCAAGUCCACUAUCAAACAAUCCACAUGUCCAUUAAUCCUGCUGCCAGAGCCCAUGAGCAGACGGAGGAUUCAGUCACUUAUUCUGAGGUCACUUGUGCUGGGAAAAAGCCGGAGAAAUCAGCCAGUGAUGAUGAUGGUAAUGACUCAGUGACUUACGCCGCCGUCAGCAGAAGAGCUUAAUGUGUGCAGAAGAAGAAAAAGAGCCUUCAGGAAUAAAGAUCAACACAAACAGGCAGAAAUCACAGCAGCAUCACUGCAGCAUUUCAGGAGCACAAGUUUCCCUCAAAUGCGCAGAUUCAGGACUUUAGUGUGGAGAAUUGGAGAGAUUUAGAGCAGAACAAACACAGCUGGAAUAUUACUGCACUGGAAAGAGGACAAAGCAGCUGUUCUGAAG